rnacentral:rRNA from 1 species
GACGAACGCUGGCGGCGUGCCUAAUACAUGCAAGUAGAACGCACAGUUUAUACCGUAGCUUGCUACACCAUAGACUGUGAGUUGCGAACGGGUGAGUAACGCGUAGGUAACCUGCCUGGUAUCGGGGGAUAACUAUUGGAAACGAUAGCUAAUACCGCAUAAUAUUAAUUAUUGCAUGAUAAUUAAUUUAAAGGUGCAAUUGCACCACUACCAGCUGGACCUUCGUUGUAUUAGCUAGUAGGGGAGGUAACGGCUCACCUAGGCGAAGAUACAUAGCCGACCUGAGAGGGUGAUCGGCCAAACUGGGAAUGGGACACGGCCCAGAAUCCUACGGGAGGCAGCAGUAGGGGAUCUUCGGAAAUGGACGAAAGUCUGAACGCGCAACGCCGGGUGAGUGAAGAAGGUUCUCGGAUCGUAAAAGUCUGUUAUGAGGGGAGAACGGGUAUGAGAUUGAAAAGUUCACACUGUGACGGUACCUUACCAGAAAGCAACGGCUAACUACGUG